AACCCUACAGCCGCAAAAAAAAAAAAUCCCUCCCCAACACUCAGCAGCAGCAACGCUGCAAUGAGGGGGGGAAAACACACACACAGCCUCCCUUCUUGAACCAAAGAAAAGAACGAAGCAGAGAGGGAAAGGGAGACUGAGUCGCGGUGGAGGAGAGGAGGAGGGAGCUUGCCGUCGCGCCACCAUGCCACCACCUCACGCCUUGCCCCCGUGCCUCACACCUCACCGCCACCAUACGAGAGGCUCCAUGGCCUUUGCUGUCGAGCUCGCGGGUGGGAGAAACAGAGAGACGCGAUGGAUGUGAGGAGGAGGAGCUAGCGUCGCUGUUGAACGGUGCUGAGCCACCGGAGCCGUUGCCUCGCCGUCGUGCCUUGCCCCUGUUGCCGCGCGAACAGAGGAGAAUGGGGGACCUAGAGAGAAGGGGCGACGAACGAAGCCAUCGCUGGGACCUUGGCCACCGCUGCCAGAGGCAUGGAGGAAGGGAGAGCAGUGGUGCAUUCAGCUGCGUCACCACCGCGCCUUACCUCGCCGCCGUUGACCUAUCUGCAGUCCACUGCCGCCAGAGCUCCUUGGCCUCGCCACAGAAGCUGCCUUCGUCGGUACCGUUGGAGGCACGAAUGGAAGAAGAACGCGCACGAGGGAGCUUGCAGAGAGGGUGAUGCGCGAUGGUAGUAGGUUAUUCCGCCGCCCUUGCUGCCGUCAGAAGCUGUCGCCACGACCGUCGGCCUCCUAGCCGCCGCAGUGGUUGGAGUCCACUGUGUACGGUCGCCGGAGAAGUCGUUGUGGCUGCUGAAACCACCGCCAAAGCUCCAGGCUGAGCUUCUGCCACGUGAGACCUUGCUGCCGUCGCCGGAAAAGUAUGCCGUUGAUCCACCGGAGUUUUUGGCCGCCGCCAGAGCUGUUGCUGGGCCUGUUCGAAAUCGCAACUGCUUCGUGUUGUUAUUCCGUGGCUGGGAGCUGAGGUUUUGGUUGCCGGUGAUUUCGAGUUGAGCGGAAAGGACUCCGUGAGACGUUUGGGUUAUGGAUUUGCGUUUUGAGGAUAUGGGCGCUGAAGUCUCGAAGAGUUUAAUUAGUUGUUGUUGUGAUGCUCUGUAUUGCUUUAGAUUAUUUAUUGUACCCUCGCCUUUAUCUUAAUAUAUUCUAUGAGAGGGUUAGGAAUUGUAUUGGGUAAUGCUUGUAAUAUUAUUUAUAUAUAUGUGUAUAUAUAUAUAUAUGGAUGUACUCUUUAUGAGUUUUGUAAGUUGCAUGGUAUCUAUGGAUAUAUGUUAUCGGAUGAAAGUAUUUUUGGGAGCGGUUUCGCGGU